rnacentral:misc_RNA from 1 species
UGGUUCUGGCAUCGAUGAAGAACGCAGCGAAAUGCGAUAAGUAAUGUGAAUUGCAGAAUUCAGUGAAUCAUCGAAUCUUUGAACGCACAUUGCGCCCAUUAGUAUUCUAGUGGGCAUGCCUGUUCGAGCGUCAUUUCAACCCUUAAGCCUAGCUUAGUGUUGGGAGACUGCGCUAAACCGCAGCUCCUCAAAACCAGUGGCAGAGCCUAUUCGUACUCUGAGCGUAGUAAUUCUUUAUCUCGCUUCUGUAAGUCGACUAGACGAUAGCCAUAAACCUUGACUUCGGUCAUAAUUUUUAAUGGUUGACCUCGGAUCAGGUAGGAAUACCCGCUGA